ACCGGCAGCUAGCUCUCUGUAACUCUCACAUAGUCGCCCACUGAAGCUAAGCAGGGCUGCGCCUGGUCAGUAUCUGGAUGGGAGACCACAUGGGAAAGCUAGGUUGCUGCUGGAA
rnacentral:rRNA from 1 species